UACAGAGGUCCCAAGCGUUGUUCGGAUUCAUUGGGCGUAAAGGGUGCGUAGGUGGUGGGGUAAGUCGGAUGUGAAAGCUCGGAGCUCAACUCCGAAAUGGCAUUGGAAACUACCCUGCUAGAGGAUUGGAGGGGGGACUGGAAUACUUGGUGUAGCAGUGAAAUGCGUAGAUAUCAAGUGGAACACCAGUGGCGAAGGCGAGUCCC
rnacentral:rRNA from 1 species